CGAAUGGACAGUGUUUGAAUGGAUUUGAACUUGCGUGUGAAUGGCUGCACGAUGACAAAUCUGCUCUGAAAUGGGUGUUCAAAACAGAUGAGGAUGGAAGCAAUGUUGUUGAAUUAAAAGAAUGCGAGUAUCCGAACUGCGGUGUGGGUGUGAUUACAACCACGUGGCUUAAGCCAAGAGAGCAGGAAGAGUGGAUGUCAUUCAAUUACAAGAUCUAUGGUACAUCGGAAGUCUAUUUAAGAAUCUAUCUGAGAACAGCGGACGGUGGGGGUGGACAGCAUCAGAUAUUUUCUCAGACUGGGAACUAUGCUCAUGAAUUUCCGAAAUCCUGGACUGAGAGAGAAGUUCUUUUGCCUGCUGUUUCUUCUAAACACAGGAUACUUAUAAAAGCACACAUUCCAUUUAAAGAAGCAUAUGUAGCAGUUAAAGAUAUAGUUUUAAAAGGAAAUACUCUUGCUACAAGCACACCAGUGGCAGCCGGCAUUGAGAGAGAAGACGAACUUGCAACCAAAUCAGAAUCCACUGAAAUCCUACCUAAUCUAGUUACUGUAGCAAUUAAUGCUACCGACGACACAUUUAUUAACGUAUCAUCAGAGCUUUCUCUAUCAGGCAACUAUUGGAACGGUGCGUUAGGUUGUACUCAAGUGUUUGAUUUCUUAAAUAUUACUUUCCUUCCUUUGCCAUUGCAGCAUACACUGAAAUAUUUAUGCAUGACUCUAGUAGUUCUGUUGAUUACGAAGAUGAGAAUGGAUUAGGCGACUCGCCCCCAAAAUCUAUAGAAGAAGAAAGGUUUCAAGCUUUAGAAGUUGAUUUUAUAGGAAGUGAAGAUUUAACUAAGGGUUAUACUAGAGUGGUGGAGCCAAAUCUUUGCAAAUACAGCUAAUUCUAAACGAAAUGUGUUGGAGGCCAAUUCAACCGAAUUUAAAAGGCACCAGUGAAGAUUCACAUCUGAAAAGAAUUAUUUAUUCCUUAAGUUAAAUUAUUGCUGGCGUAUACAAGAAAUUACACGAAAUAAAAUGUUAUAGUUUUA